AUACGUAGGGGGCGAGCGUUGUCCGGAAUGAUUGGGCGUAAAGGGCGCGUAGGCGGCCCGGUAAGUCUGGAGUGAAAGUCCUGUUUUUAAGAUGGGAAUUGCUUUGGAUACUGUCGGGCUUGAGUGCAGGAGAGGUAAGUGGAAUUCCCAGUGUAGCGGUGAAAUGCGUAGAGAUUGGGAGGAACACCAGUGGCGAAGGCGACUUACUGGACUGUAACUGACGCUGAGGCGCGAAAGUGUGGGAGCAAACAGGAUUAGAUACCCUGGUAGUCCACACUGUAAACGAUGAAUGCUAGGUGUAGGGGGUAUCGACCCCUUCUGUGCCGCAGUCAACACAAUAAGCAUUCCGCCUGGGGAGUACGGCCGCAAGGUUGAAACUCAAAUGAAUUGACGGGG
rnacentral:rRNA from 1 species